GAUGAACGCUGGCGGCGUGCCUAAUACAUGCAAGUCGAGCGAACAGACGAGGAGCUUGCUCCUCUGACGUUAGCGGCGGACGGGUGAGUAACACGUGGAUAACCUACCUAUAAGACUGGGAUAACUUCGGGAAACCGGAGCUAAUACCGGAUAAUAUAUUGAACCGCAUGGUUCAAUAGUGAAAGACGGUUUUGCUGUAACUUAUAGAUGGAUCCGCGCCGCAUUAGCUAGUUGGUAAGGUAACGGCUUACCAAGGGAACGAUGCGUAGCCGACCUGUGAGGGUGGUCGGCCACCCUGGAGCUGGGCCACGGUCCUGACUCCUGCGGGAGGCAGCAGUCGGGAAUCUUCCGCAAUGGUCGAGAGCCUGACGGAGCAACGCCGCGUGAGUGAUGAAGGUCUUCGGAUCGUAAAACUCUGUUAUUAGGUAAGAACAAAUGUGUAAGUAACUAUGCACGUCUUGACGGUACCUAAUCAGAAAGCCACGGCUAACUACGUG
rnacentral:rRNA from 1 species